UAAGAGAUGAUCAGCUGAGAAGGAAGCUCCUACUUAAAGAAAGCUCCCUGUUUAUUAGGGGAAGAGAAACUGGUGAUAUGUGAAUGGGUUACUGUCUGACAGAUCUGACAGUAGGAAAGAGGAAAGACCCCUUUUAGGAUGGUGGUGGCAGCAGGGUUCCUUGUUUCCACCUGCGGCUCUGAGAUACAGUUACUCGUUGUAAGCAAGAUCGGCAGAUUUUCUCCUUUGUGCUUGGAAAGGUCACAGUUCUCUGAAGUAUGCAAGCCUUAUUGUCGUUUCCUUCCUCCAUCAAUUCACUAAAUGCCAGUUCUCUCAAUGGCCUCGAGCAAGAAAUUAACACCAAACAGCAUAAACUGGACCGUAAUCUCUGAUGCACAGAUCAGAAGGCUGGAUACAAAGACGGCGAUUUGAAUUUAUUGCAGAGGAGAUAAGUGCUGUGGAUGGUGAAAAGCAGGACUGGAAAUCUGGAGUAAUGAUGCCAGAAAUAGAAUCAUAAAAACUGAUUUAGCACCCACAUCCUGAGAAGCAUCUGCUGACUUCCCUCUCAUUAUGAAAUUGAAUCUGCUACUGAAAAACCAUUCUCCCUAGAUAGUGCAUCUCUGCGGAGGCCGAUUUGAAGGAAUUUGAUAACGCACUAUUCAAAGGAAAACCACACCAUCAAUAAAGAAAUCCACCAAAAUAAAUAUUCUCAGCAAACAUGGACUGGCUUUUUUAGGAAGCCAGAGAAAGUGGCCAUUAUACAUAGGCACAGGCCUGAAUGGCACGCUCUCAGCUCUGGUGUCUGGAGUCACCUGCUCUUGCAUCUCUACCAAACCGUACAUUAUACGCUGGAAAAUUGUACCUGCUCUGCGCCAAAUCCAGCAAACCAAAUCCACUUUUAUAUGACCAGGUGACUAACAAGGGAGAAUGAUGGUCUUUUGGUUAAGCCACUCACCUGGGACUCAGGAGACCUGUGUUUAACUCCUGGCUCUAUCACCAACUUCCUCUGUGACCCUGAGCAUGUCACUUAGUCUUUCUGUGCCUCACUUUCCCACCCAGAAUGGGGGCAGAAUAUCUC